rnacentral:tRNA from 1 species
GGUCUUAUAUUCAAAAUUGAUUUUAAAUUGCAAAUUUAAAGGUGGAUUGUAAUCCUAAGGCUU